AAAUUUUAAUGUAAACUUAAAUGUUAAUCUGCAGAGGUACAGCUCUGCAGAAUAAGACUACAACCUUAAUUAGUGAGUAAUUUUAUUUUAUAACCAUAGUUGGCCUAAAAGCAGCCACCAAUUAAGAAAGCGUUCAAGCUCAACAAUUAAAUUAACAUUUAAUUCAAAAAAUAAUAUAAACUCCUAAUUUAUAUACUGGAUUAUUCUACUUACCUGUAGAAGUAAUACUGUUAAUAUGAGUAACAAGAUUCUAUAUCUCCAUACACACGUGUAUAUCAGCCCGAAUCCCAACUGAUAAUUAACAAUUAAAUAAAUCUAUAUACUUAAUUAAUAAUUUAUCACCACAUUGUUAAUCCAACACCGGAGUGUAAUAAGGAAAGAUUAAAAAAAGUAAAAGGAACUCGGCAAACCUAAACCCCGCCUGUUUACCAAAAACAUCACCUCUAGCAUUACCAGUAUUAGAGGCACUGCCUGCCCAGUGACAUAAGUUUAACGGCCGCGGUAUCCUGACCGUGCAAAGGUAGCAUAAUCAUUUGUUCCUUAAUUAGGGACUUGUAUGAAUGGCCCCACGAGGGUUUAACUGUCUCUUACUUUUUAUCAGUGAAAUUGACCUCCCCGUGAAGAGGCGGGGAUAUAUAAAUAAGACGAGAAGACCCUAUGGAGCUUAAAUUAAGGUAUCCAAUAAAAUUCAAACUCAAUCCAACAGGAAUAACCGUAUUAUAACUGGAUAACAAAUUUUGGUUGGGGUGACCUCGGAGUAUAACAAAACCUCCGAGCGAUUUUAAUCAAGACUAACCCGUCAAGGUGAAUUAUUUAUUGAUCCAAUCAUAUUGAUCAACGAAACAGUUACCCUAGGGAUAACAGCGCAAUCUUAUUUGAGAGUUCAUAUCACAAUAGGGUUUACGACCUCGAUGUUGGAUAAGGACACCCAAUGGCGCAGCGGCUAUUAAAGGUUCGGUU
rnacentral:rRNA from 1 species